rnacentral:rRNA from 1 species
GACGAACGCUGGCGGCGUGCCUAAUACAUGCAAGUUGAGCGCUGAAGGUUGGUACUUGUCCCAACUGGAUGAGCAGCGAACGGGUGAGUAACGCGUGGGGAAUCUGCCUUUGAGCGGGGGACAACAUUUGGAAACGAAUGCUAAUACCGCAUAAAAACUUUAAACACAAGUUUUAAGUUUGAAAGAUGCAAUUGCAUCACUCAAAGAUGAUCCCGCGUUGUAUUAGCUAGUUGGUGAGGUAAAGGCUCACCAAGGCGAUGAUACAUAGCCGACCUGAGAGGGUGAUCGGCCACAUUGGGACUGAGACACGGCACAAACUCCUACGGGAGGCAGCAGUAGGGAAUCUUCGGCAAUGGACGAAAGUCUGACCGAGCAACGCCGCGGGAGUGAAGAAGGUUUUCGGAUCGUAAAACUCUGUUGGUAGAGAAGAACGUUGGUGAGAGUGGAAAGCUCAUCAAGUGACGGUAACUACCCAGAAAGGGACGGCUAACUACGUG